UCUAAUUUUUUUAUUGAAAUGAAACUUAUUAGUUGCAGAAGUCUUGACUUGCUUUUAUUGAUAAUUUAUCAUUGAUCCAGUGACUACAACCUUCCUGUAUGUUCACAAAAGAUAUAUUCAAUAUAUAUACAAGGAUUCGAGGAUGCAAGUAAUAUUAUGGUACAUUAGCAGUAGUCCUAAAUGUUAAGGUAAACUGACAAAGCGUUGAGACAGCAUUUCAAACUUCAUAAAUCUACUACAAAAUGGUCUAUAAUUUUAUGGCAAUCAUCAAAGAAAAGGAACAGUGCAAACAAGAUCGUUCAGAACUAGUUGCUGUGAAACUUCAAACAUAUUUUCAGAACAGAAAAAGCCUGAGCCACAUAGUCAACAAACUCUUGAAACACCUGGCCUUUCUACAACACUACCCACCAGAGUUGGUGUCAACUCGAGGCAACGUCAUCUUUGCAACAAUGCUGUUCAUCGCUCUACAGCCAGCUCUGGCCGUUUGCACGAGUUGGCAACACUGGAAUUUCAAGUCCAGGGUAUCGGCAGUCGAUAAUCUCAUAUUUUCACUGGGCGCUCUAUGUUUGUCCAUUGAUGUCUACAUGCUGUCAGAGAAAUUGCGCACUCUCAUCAAUUUGACAAGUUCCCAGUACAAAUUGUACAGCAUUGGUUCAAGAGUGGAAGAUGAUAGGAAGCAGUCUGAAAUAGCAGGUGAUAGAAGAUUCGGUAUUCUUGAAGAAAAUACUUUGAAAAAAUACGGAGAAGAUUUGGUUCAAGAAAAAGUGAGAAGUUUGGGGGGAACCUUUACCUCUAAAGAGCACAAGAGGACUUGGGUGAAUCGUGAAAACGAUAAUGGUACAAAAGUGGGAGACAGUAAUUUCUAUUAUGGAAAUCAUUUGAAAGAAGCAGAUAUCCUUGAAGAGAAAACAGAGGAUUUCUAUGGUAGAAAUAGACACAUCGAAGUUGUGGAAAUGUAUCAUGGAGAAACAAAAUUAUUCGAACAGAAAGAUGGGAGGGAGGAUGAAAUUAUUAAUUCGGAAACAAGAGAAUAUUUUAAUGAAAAAGGGAAAGUGUCAGCAUAUUUUAAUAGUGUGGAAAGAUCUAAAGCUAAUAGAAUGUCCAUCAGGAACCAUGUUAGUUGCAAUUUUAAAAUUGGACCUACCAAUGAAGAAAAACUAGGGGACAUGGAAGGUUCAAGAUUUGGAAUGAACAGUGGCAAAAAUGUCCACAGUGACUAUUUUUUAAAAAAGAAACAAAAACUUAUAGAAAAAGUCUCUCUGGAAGGAUGCAGACGAGCUGGAACCACUGCCAAUGUGAUCACGUCUUUUUUCUCCAGUUUCACUCUGAUUCCUUUAUCCGGUAUUCUCUUCUACUUCCUCCGCCUUGAAUCUGUCGGAAAUCUUCCUCUUCCCUUCAUCAUCUAUUCUCCAUUCUCCUUUUCACUAAACAUCACCGGAUUCUUCGAGUAUUUUCUUUUGGCUUCAGUGGAACUGUUCUAUAUCUACUACACAGCUGUGCUAGCGACAACCGUUCAUGUCAUACAAACGUUGUCUAUAAAUAAUUUGAUUGGAGAGAUGCGGCUAUUUCAUUUGAACGCUCAAGAAAUUGAUGGAGUGUUUGAGAGUGUGUUAGAUGACGUACAGAAUGAACUCAGACUGCGUUUAGUCGUCAGAGAACUUGCCAUACAUCAUCAAACUAUAUUCAGAAAGGUGAAUUAAUAUUGAAAAUCAAGUAUGGUCUGAUGGUAAUCACUAUAGCACUGCUGGAAUUUAUCUUCAGCGAGAACGGGCAAAGAUUACAGGAUGAGGGAGAAGAGCUGAG
rnacentral:misc_RNA from 1 species